rnacentral:rRNA from 1 species
AUUGAACGCUGGCGGCAGGCCUAACACAUGCAAGUCGAACGGUAACAGGAAGAAGCUUGCUUCUUUGCUGACGAGUGGCGGACGGGUGAGUAAUGUCUGGGAAACUGCCUGAUGGAGGGGGAUAACUACUGGAAACGGUAGCUAAUACCGCAUAAUGUCGCAAGACCAAAGAGGGGGACCUUCGGGCCUCUUGCCAUCGGAUGUGCCCAGAUGGGAUUAGCUAGUAGGUGGGGUAACGGCUCACCUAGGCGACGAUCCCUAGCUGGUCUGAGAGGAUGACACAGACACCUGGGAACUAGGACACGGUCCAGCCCCCUAGGGGGGGCAGGAGGGGGAAAAUUUGCAAAAGGGGGGAAAGCCGAAGGCAGCUAGGCGGGGGUGAAGAAGAAGGCCUUCGGGUUGUAAAUUACUUCAGGGGGGGGGGAGGGGGAAAAAUUUAAACCUUUGGCCAAUUGACGUUACCCGAAAAAAAACCCCCGGCUAACCCCGG